rnacentral:rRNA from 1 species
GACGAACGCUGGCGGCGUGCUUAACACAUGCAAGUCGAACGGAAAGGCCCUGCUUGCAGGGUACUCGAGUGGCGAACGGGUGAGUAACACGUGGGUGAUCUGCCCUGCACUUCGGGAUAAGCUUGGGAAACUGGGUCUAAUACCGGAUAGGAGCCAUCUUUAGUGUGGUGGUUGGAAAGUUUUUUCGGUGUAGGAUGAGCUCGCGGCCUAUCAGCUUGUUGGUGGGGUAAUGGCCUACCAAGGCGGCGACGGGUAGCCGGCCUGAGAGGGUGUACGGCCACAUUGGGACUGAGAUACGGCCCAGACUCCUACGGGAGGCAGCAGUGGGGAAUAUUGCACAAUGGGCGCAAGCCUGAUGCAGCGACGCCGCGUGGGGGAUGAAGGCCUUCGGGUUGUAAACUCCUUUCGCUAGGGACGAACCUUUUUUGUGACGGUACCUAGAGAAGAAGCACCGGCUAACUACGUG